ensembl:lncRNA
AGGCUGCCAACAUAGGACAGAAUGACAGCUCAAACUGAAUCCAUCAUCUAAUCUAAGAUUUCCAGUUUCCAGUUCCAUUUGGCACAAUUCAACCAUCUCCUGACCAUUUGCUCUUUUACUGCCUUAAGCUGGGGAAGCAAAAUCAGACGGAAGGAUAUAAUUUUACAUGGAAGCAAAAUGUUACUACUUGUACUGGGGAACAGAAAGUUAAAGUACGUUUGCAAAGCGGCCUAAAUUCUACCGAGGAGUAGUUAAGUAAAGCUGCUGCCCUGCUCCAGACCAACAGCAGUUUCUGCACAUGAGCAACCUGCUUUCACUGAAAGGCUUCAUCUCCAAGAGUGCAGUUUUGCAUUGGCUUUGGGCCAUCCCACAAGCUUCCCAGAGUUUCUCUCUUACAGAGGGUACACACACAGCCUGAACUGCCUCUGCUAGGAAUGAUCCAGUCAGAUGGAGAAAGCUGUGGAGAGCAGUCACAGUUUGGGAUGCAUCUCUCCUGCUCCAUGGAUGCACACUACAACUUCCCAGCAAAUCCACAAGUGACAACAAACUUGGAGAACUGGCAUGGACCAAAAAAAGGCCCCGUGUUUAAUUAACCAAGCAAAAUGGAGUAUGCUAUAGGACAUGUUUCCCUCAAAUCCACUACUGUUAGAGUUUCUAAUGAGGUUCCCUCAAGGGAAAGAAGUGCUCUGUUUUAUAAAGAAAAUUGUCAGUUCUGCAUCUAUCAACUAGGAAGGCUUUUAAUGAGGAGAGCUACUGAUCCAGAAUGACUCGCUACUGAAAGGUAUGAUGUAUACGUAAGAAAACCUUCCUACAGGACUUAAGGUUGAUAUCACACGCUGUGGUUAAAAUUGGAUUUUUUACAUCUUUUGUCUGGGGUGGGGGAGCCAACCAUUUCCUGAGAUGCCCAAUAUCUGGAUUUUUGUUAAGAAUUGUAACUCACAUCAAGAGAUUAUUUGUAUAUAUUUUGGGAACACCUCUCUGGCUAUUUCCUGACAGUGAUGACAUCACUUUGGGUAUAACCUCCAUUCAUUAGUGAGAAGCUCCCUACCCUUAGGUGGCCUUCAGCCAGUUGGACCAGCUGCACUAGGCAACGCUGUCUAGGGCCGGAACUGGUGACUUGGUGGCACAGACCUCCUGCAGGCUCCCUGGCUCCGAGAAGUUCCCAUCCCCAUGCAGGUCUUUGUGAUCCAAGUGGAUGCGAAACGGGACAGAACCAUGCUAAUGUGGGUUUACAGACCUGUUGCCUUCUCCAGGCUGAUUCUAAAUCCCCACUCACAAUGAAUGGCCACAGAAGUGCUGUUAAGUCUAGAUAUAUUCUAAAUUCUGCUCCUUUCUGAAAUCACAAAGCACAUUACUACUGGAACAAUUAAAGUAUCAAAACAUGCUGGUAAAAUCAAAAUUAAAA